CCGAGUCACUUUGGGCCCCUCAAUGCUGAGCGACAGAGAUGGCUCCGAAGGACCACAGCAAAAGGAGAAAAUCGACUAGAGUACUAAAACUUCAAGGUCUUAAACUGUCAGAUCUGUGACACAAAGGACUGGAGCCCCGACUACUGAUCCUUCUGAAGGGAUUUUGGCUUAGAUAACAUAUUGAUGCUGUGCCCCAGGUCUCCAGUGAACGCUGUCAAAUUAGCAGGAGUCACUAAAACAUAUCGGCUGGCAGUGGCCUUGGCAACAGUUUCCUGGAUAUGACACCAAAAGCA